CUAACCUUUUGCCAUAAACUUGAACUUUUCGCACCCUCCCUGGACGACUUCAAACCGGCCACAUUAAUAACACUUAUGACCAACAGCUGGCAGCCUCUGACUCCAUAUAAUUAUCUGAAACUGGCGUCCGACUGCACGGGUUUAACGGAGUUCAUAAAAGCAGGCAAGGCAUCUGGCUGAUAAGGACAUCAGCGUCAGCGGCUGUGUCAACAUUACAAAGGAUUCAACUAAUUUUUCUUCAGCAGCAAGAUGGACUACUGUAACUGACUUCUUCAUUGUGCUUAUGCUUAUGAAAUAUGAAAUAACACAUCUUCAGCUGGAACCAGUUUAA